AAAAUUCAUGUUAAGGUCAAAUUGAUUUGGAGUCUUGAUCAUAGAGAAAAUUGGCAACGAAGGUAGCUGCUUACUAACACCAAACUUGCCAAAAAUAGCAAGUUUCUAAAACCAUAAUUUCCAAUUUAAGCAACUUUCUAUAAUUCUUGAUUUUUGAUGAAUCUCUUGACUUUUCUUCACCAAAUUUCAACCAUACACCAUAUUUGACUUGUGGAAAACAAUUUUAA
rnacentral:lncRNA from 1 species